CAAUAGCGUAUAUUAAAGUUGUUGCGGUUAAAAAGCUCGUAGUUGGAUUUCUGCUUGGGACAACCGGUCCGCCCUCUGGGUGAGUAUCUGGUCUGGCCCGGGCAUCUUCUUGGGGAACGUUACUGCACUUGACUGUGUGGUGCGGAGCCCAGGACCUUUACUUUGAGGAAAUUAGAGUGUUUCAAGCAGGCAUUUGCCUUGAAUACAUUAGCAUGGAAUAAUGGAAAAGGACUUCAACCUCUUCUGUUGGUCUGAGAGGCUGUAGUAAUGAUUAAUAGGGAUAGUUGGGGGCAUUAGUACUUAACUGUCAGAGGUGAAAUUCUCCGAUUUGUUAAAGACUAACUUAUGCGAAAGCAUUUGCCAAGGAUGUUUUCAUUAAUCAAGAACGAAAGUUAGGGGAUCGAAGAUGAUCAGAUACCAU
rnacentral:rRNA from 1 species